rnacentral:rRNA from 1 species
GGAUGAACGCUGACGGCGUGCCUAAUACAUGCAAGUCGAGCGAACGGACGAGAAGCUUGCUUCUCUGAUGUUCGCGGCGGACGGGUGAGUAACACGUGGAUAACCUACCUAUAAGACUGGGAUAACUUCGGGAAACCGGAGCUAAUACCGGAUAAUAUUUUGAACCGCAUGGUUCAAAAGUGAAAGACGGUCUUGCUGUCACUUAUAGAUGGAUCCGCGCUGCAUUAGCUAGUUGGUAAGGUAACGGCUUACCAAGGCAACGAUGCAUAGCCGACCUGAGAGGGUGAUCGGCCACACUGGAACUGAGACACGGUCCAGACUCCUACGGGAGGCAGCAGUAGGGAAUCUUCCGCAAUGGGCGAAAGCCUGACGGAGCAACGCCGCGUGAGUGAUGAAGGUCUUCGGAUCGUAAAACUCUGUUAUUAGGGAAGAACAUAUGUGUAAGUAACUGUGCACAUCUUGACGGUACCUAAUCAGAAAGCCACGGCUAACUACGUG